rnacentral:rRNA from 1 species
UUGGAGGGCAAGUCUGGUGCCAGCAGCCGCGGUAAUUCCAGCUCCAAUAGCGUAUAUUAAAGUUGUUGCAGUUAAAAAGCUCGUAGUUGAAUUUCGGGAUCAGUACGUUGGUCGUGCCUUAGGUACGUACUGGUGUUACUGGUUCCUACCUUCUGACGAACCAUCAUGUCAUUAAUUUGGUGUGGCGGGGAAUCAGGACUGUUACUUUGAAAAAAUUAGAGUGUUUAAAGCAGGCUCGCGCUUGAAUACAUUAGCAUGGAAUAAUGAAAUAGGACGUUGAUCCUAUUUUGUUGGUUUCUAGGAUUGACGUAAUGAUUAAUAGGGAUAGUUGGGGGCAUUAGUAUUCAAUUGUCAGAGGUGAAAUUCUUGGAUUUAUUGAAGACUAACUACUGCGAAAGCAUUUGCCAAGGAUGUUUUCAUUAAUCAAGAACGAAAGUUAGGGGAUCGAAGACGAUCAGAUACCGUCGUAGUCUUAACCAUAAACUAUGCCGACUAGGGAUCGGAUGAUGUUAUUUUUAAUGACUCAUUCGGCGCCUUACGGGAAAC